rnacentral:rRNA from 1 species
CCUACGGGAGGCAGCAGUGGGGAAUAUUGGGCAAUGGAGGAAACUCUGACCCAGCAACGCCGCGUGAAUGAUGAAGGUCUUCGGAUUGGAAAGUUCUUUUCUAAGGGAAGAAGAAAGUGACGGUACCUUAGGAAUAAGCCUCGGCUAACUACGGGCCAGCAGCCGCGGUAAUACGUAGGAGGCAAGCGUUAUCCGGAAUGACUGGGCGUAAAGGGUGCGUAGGUGGUUUGACAAGUUGGUAGCGUAACUCCGAGGCUUAACCUCGGCACUACUACCAAAACUGUUGGACUCGAGUGCAGGAGGGGCAAAUGGAAUUCCUAGUGUAGCGGUGGAAUGCGUAGAUAUUAGGAGGAACACCAGUGGCGAAGGCGAUUUGCUGGACUGUAACUGACACUGAGGCACGAAAGCGUGGGGAGCAAACAGGAUUAGAUACCCCAGUAGUC